UACGGAGGGUGCAAGCGUUACUCGGAAUCACUGGGCGUAAAGAGCGUGUAGGCGGGUUUGUAAGUUUGAAGUGAAAUCCAAUGGCUCAACCAUUGAACUGCUUUGAAAACUGCUUACCUAGAAUAUGGGAGAGGUAGAUGGAAUUUCUGGUGUAGGGGUAAAAUCCGUAGAGAUCAGAAGGAAUACCGAUUGCGAAGGCGAUCUACUGGAACAUUAUUGACGCUGAGACGCGAAAGCGUGGGGAGCAAAC
rnacentral:rRNA from 1 species